rnacentral:lncRNA from 10 species
UUGAAAACCACUAAAUUGGUUAUGUGAUACUGAUUAACACACUUCCCUUGAAAUUCACAAACUUCCCUUGAGCUGAGAUAUCAGGUAGAAUAUAUUCAAGGCAAAUGUAUUUAACAGAGUUAUUGGGUGCUUACUAUUUGCCAAGCCCUGGGAAUACAGAGGUGGAGGAGAGGGACAUGUUACUAGGUUUUGACCACUCAGUGGGACAAGGGCCAACUUACAGGAGCACCAAAGAGAGGGCCACAAAUGUGGCUCAGGGCCAAGAAGGGUCCACUGAGGAGAAAACACCAAGGUUACUGGAUGGAAAAAGGUAAGGGAGAUGCCAGGUACAAAGACUUGGGAUUGGAAAGUGUGGAAGAGUUAUGGAGGGAUGCAGAGCUGGCCGACUGCAGCAGGCAUUGUGGCUAAGAGCCUUGCUUCUGGGGAUCAGACUGAUUCAGGUUCAAGUCCUGGCUGUGCCACUUACAAACUCAGAGUUCCUUUAUCCUUCUGAGCCUCAGUUUCCUCAUCUGUCAAAUAGGUAUAAAAUCAUCAUAGUACCUACAUUCUUAUAGGUUGUUGUAAUGAUUUAACAAACACACUGCACACCUGCUAUCUGCCAGGCACAGGUGUUGGGGACAUACUUGUAAACAUAACAAGGCCCUGCCCUCAUGGAGUUUACAUUCUAGUGAUGUAAUGAAAAUAACAUGCUAAGCACAGGCAUUGGCUGUGGUCAUGACUGUCGGACCAAGGGGCAUAGUGGGAGAUGAGGCUGGAUUCUGAUCACAAGGAAACUCAAAUGCCCCUUUACGGGAC